UUUUUUUCCAAUUGCUUUCUCUGUUCCUCUGCAUUUUGUUCUUUCUUGCAUUCCUUGGUUAAUCAUUACAUUACUUGCUUCCAUGCAUUCCUUGGUUUUAUCAUGAUUAACCAUGCAGUCCAAUUUGUUUGUUUGUUCUUCUUUGCUUUCAAUCAAUAAAUAUUCUGUUCUUUCUUUCUGCCGCUCUCUCUUUUGAUGGACUAUGUCUCUUGGUUGGACGCAUCUUAAGAUUUCAGUGUAAUGAAGACAUUUUUAAGGUUCCUGGUCUGGUUCUGCGUGUUUGUGCACGUGUCAGUGAUGGAUGUAAAGGUGAAGAGAAGAUGAAUUGCUAGUCAUGUUCUCAGUAAUGUCUGGAUCAGACAGAAGGAUACAGCUGAGCGAUGACACAUUAGAAACGCAGCGGUGUGUAGUCAUCAACAGCAUCCUGCAGAUCACACAGAUCCAGCCUGGAUGAUGCUUCACAAGCUCAGAACACAAUAACUAGAAAACUGGCCUUGAAUUCUUUAAAUAUAUCAACUUAUGAAUGUUUUGAGAACCAUAGACAAAGUUCUGUGAUAUUGCGAUGGUAUUCGAUUAUAAGAAUGUGAUACUUCAAUGAAUAAUCCGUUGUUCAAACGUUCGGGGUUAUUAGGAUUUUUUAUGUUUUCGAAAGAAGCGUCAGCUGCAUUAUUUAAUCAAACAUACAGUAAAAAUAGGUAAAUAUUAUUACAAUGUAAAAUAACUGUUUUCUAUUUGAAUAUAUUUUAAAAUGUAAUUUAUUCCUGUGAUGCAAAGCUGAAUUUCCAGCAUCAUCACAUCUGGUUUGUUUGUCAGACAAGAUGGCAGGUUCUGCGAUAUGAUUGGUCAGAUGGCCUGUCAAUCAAACUUCCAGCGAAGGGCGGUUUAUCUGUUGCCAUUGUAUGUGACCUGUUGAUCUGGACUGAAUGUCUGCACUAGUCUGACUAAGCUAAGUCCUGGGAAUUGAGCUCCGUUCACCGAUUUAAGGUCAUGCCGUUUGAUGGAAAGCCUCGAUUAGCCGACUCUGUAGGAGAUUUAAGGCUUUAUAGUGUUAUAAGGCUGGGAAAGGGAGGGUGGAUGUUUCUGAGGCCCAUAACCAGCACCAUGGACUGCCAUCAAGUAAAACGACAUUUCUGACAUUUCCAAAAAAACGGCGCACUUGUGAUUUGAAGAGGGGGCUUUUGAUUGGAGGCAGGGCAGUGAUUUCUGGCUGUGUUUGUUUGUGAGGCUGUUAUUGGAGCAGUGGAGCAGCCUACAGCAUCUUAAGAGCAUUGAGGAGCCCACGCUCGCCCUCUCCUCCCUGAUCCUCUGGCUGGACUCCCAGAGCUCCUCUCUCUCUCUCUCUCUCUCUCUCUCUCUCAGUAUCUCUCCCUCUCUCUCUCUCUCUCUCUCUCUCUCUCAGUAUCUCUCUCUCUCUCUCUCUCUCAGUAUCUCUCAACCCACUUAAAGGGAAAGUUCAUGAAAAAAAAGACCGUUCUGUCAUUUAUUUACCUUAAUAUUGUUUCAAAACAAGAUGACUAGCUAACUAAUCACUUAAUAUUUUUUUUUUUACAUUUAUGUUACUAAAUAUUACUAUUUGUAAUAAUCAAAUGAAUUAUUACAAAUUAGUAAUCGAAGUAUUAAUUAAAUAAUGUGUAUAUCCAUAUAUUAAAGUUGAAUUACUGUUAUUGUAUAUUAUAUUAUUAAUAAUUAAUACUAUUAUACAGUUAAAAAUCAAAUGUGUAAUUAAUAUUGAUUAAUAUUAAUCAUAUAUAUAUAUAUAUAUAUAUAUAUAUAUAUAUAUAUAUAUAUAUAUAUAUAUAUAUAUAAUUUACAAUAUUUAUUUUUUAUCAUAACAAAUAAUAAUUAUAUAUAUAUAUAUAUAUAUAUGUGUGUGUGUGUGUGUGUGUGUGUGUGUGUGUGUGUGUGUGUGUGUACUUUUAUUUAUCCAUUUUUCAUUUUUAUUAUAAAAAAUUACAUUUAUAAGUAAUGUUACUUAUAAUAAUAUGAUUAAUAUAAUAAUUUUUAAUAACAUUUAUGAUACUACAUAUUACUAUUUAUAAUAAUGAAACUAUUACUAAUUAGUAAUAAAUAGAAUACUUAAUAAUAUUUAUCUGUUUUCUUUAUAUUAUACUAAAUAUUACUUAUAAUAUUUAAGUAAUAUUAUUUUAAAUAACACAAUUAACUAAAAAAAAUAUUAUAAUAAUUAUAAUUUGUGUAAUAAAUAUGAAUUAAUAUUAAUAAUAAUUAUAAUUUACAUAUUAUAAUUAUAAUUAAUCAUAAUCAAUAAUAAUAAGUAUGUGAUACAUGAAAAUAAAUACAUGAUAUACAAUUAUUUAUUUAUUUAUUUUGUCCUUAUAACUUUUGGGGUCUUCUUUGGGUAAUAUGUUAUAAUAAAUGUAUUCAGAAAAUAAGAGCAUGUGGAUUUGAGAAGGAUAAAAGAGUUGUAUUUUUAUGGGUGAACUAUUCCUCCUGUGAUGGUGAUCUGUCAGGGAACGUCUCUACAAACAGCUUUGACCCUCUUUUGGGAUUUUGUUGUUCACAUGAGUGCCUGGUGGUCCUCGUUUGAUUAAGGUUUGGUGCGACACGUUACACUUACUGAAAAAUGACAUUUAAUAAUCUGUGUUCAUAAGGUCUCUUUUUUACAGAAACGUGAGUUGAAUCCACA
ensembl:lncRNA